GAACAAAGCGAAUGUGGCUGCAAUGAUGGAUCUAUCUGCAAGAGAUAGAAAAUAUUCACAUUGCCCCGCCAAACAAUCAAAAUUGUUCCUUUAUCGUUUGGAUCUUGCACUCUAGAAAAUAAGAAUCGUCAUAGCUUCUUCGUAAGCAGCAACAGAACCUUGGCAGAGAUUGAACGUAUCAGAUCUCCGAUCAAGUUACGCCGGUAAUAUAGUAUUAAUGGAACAGAGAGAGUAAUAAUUGACAACAUAUAUACGUACACAUACGCGAUUGUUUUAUAAACCGACGGUAAAAUCAUCGGCUCCGCAGUCGUUCAGAGAGAGGAGCAACCGCCAUACUGGGUCAUCUCACUGAGAGCAAAGCCACAUUCUUAAGAACAUCAUUAUUGUCCAUGUGGCCUUGCCUAUUCUUAAACUAGUGAUGGCCUUGCAUAUUCUGAGAGCAAAGGUAUCUUUGUCAUUGCAUGUUAUGUGUUGGCAAAAUCGUAAUAACUUGCAAAAGAUUAGGCGUUUUACGAAAAUAUUCUGCCUACUUGCCCUUGUUUUUUUCAGUCAAAGGAUAAACGCAUCUAAAACAGAGCAGAGCCAACUUUUUGAUGAAGGACAGCAGAGAGUCAGAGACCAACCUAGAGCUACAAGAAGGUGAAGAAGAGCCAUGGUUUAUAUAAUUAAUUGAUCUUGAUAAUACGUAAGACUGAUAAGCCAGGCCCAACUUAGGCCCUUCAAGAAAUCUACCAACGUGUAUAAAUGACGUUUUAUUUGUUAUUUUCUGGAAUUUUUUUAUUACGAUAAUGUUAUAUUUGAAUAUCUGUUAUCAGUAUUUUUUUACUAA